rnacentral:rRNA from 1 species
AGCGAACGCUGGCGGCAGGCCUAACACAUGCAAGUCGAACGAAGUCUUCGGACUUAGUGGCGGACGGGUGAGUAACACGUGGGAACGUGCCUUUAGGUUCGGAAUAACUCAGGGAAACUUGUGCUAAUACCGAAUGUGCCCUUCGGGGGAAAGAUUUAUCGCCUUUAGAGCGGCCCGCGUCUGAUUAGCUAGUUGGUGAGGUAAAGGCUCACCAAGGGGACGAUCAGUAGCUGGUCUGAGAGGAUGAUCAGCCACAUUGGGACUGAGACACGGCCCAAACGCCUACGGGAGGCAGCAGUGGGGAAUCUUGCGCAAUGGGCGAAAGCCUGACUCAGCCAUGCCGCGUGAAUGAUGAAGGUCUUAGGAUUGUAAAAUUCUUUCACCGGGGACGAUAAUGACGGUACCCGGAGAAGAAGCCCCGGCUAACUUCGUGCCAGCAGCCGCAGUAACAC